rnacentral:rRNA from 1 species
UAGCUUGCUACACCAUAGACUGUGAGUUGCGAACGGGUGAGUAACGCGUAGGUAACCUGCCUGGUAGCGGGGGAUAACUAUUGGAAACGAUAGUAAUACCGCAUAAUAUUAAUUAUUGCAUGAUAAUUAAUUGAAAGGUGCAAUUGCACCACUACCAGAUGGACCUGCGUUGUAUUAGCUAGUAGGUGAGGUAACGGCUCACCUAGGCGACGAUACAUAGCCGACCUGAGAGGGUGAUCGGCCACACUGGGACUGAGACACGGCCCAGACUCCUACGGGAGGCAGCAGUAGGGAAUCUUCGGCAAUGGACGAAAGUCUGACCGAGCAACGCCGCGUGAGUGAAGAAGGUUUUCGGAUCGUAAAGCUCUGUUGUAAGAGAAGAACGGGUGUGAGAGUGGAAAGUUCACACUGUGACGG